rnacentral:rRNA from 1 species
AACGAACGCUGGCGGCAUGCUUAACACAUGCAAGUCGAACGAGACCUCCGGGUCUAUUGGCGCUCGGGUGCGUAACGCGUGGUAACCUGCCCUUAAGUUCGGAACAACUCUCCGAUAGCUGUGCUAAUACCGGAUUAUGUCUUCGUACCAACGAUUUCUCGCGUUUGGAUGGGUCCGCGUUGGUUUCGGGAGGUGGUAGGGUAAAAGCCUAUCAAGGCGUCGGUCCAUAGCUGGUCUGAGAGGAUGACCAGCCACACUUGGACUGAGACACGGCCCAGUCUCGGAGGGGGGGCAGGAGUGUGGUGUAGUGUGCGCGGGAGGAAGGCGUGACGCCGCAGUGCGGGGGAAGAGAGGAAGGGCUUAGGGUUGUAAAGCCCGUUUGGACGAGAUGAUAGUGACGGUACCGGGAGAAUAAGCACCGGCUAACUCCGUG